rfam:Dipodomys ordii contig_55681, whole genome shotgun sequence.
GGUGGCUCAGUGGUAGAGCGCAUGCCUUGGAUGCCUAAGGCCCUGGGUUCGAUUCCCCAGCACCA